UAGUGGCGGAAGGGUUAGUAAUACAUGAAUAACUUGCCUUCAACCUGGGGAUAACGUCUGGAAACGGGCGCUAAUACCGAAUGAGGUAGUUGAGGAAAACUUUAAACUAUCAAAGUGGGGGACUCUGAAAAGAGCCUUGCGGUUGAAGAGAGGUUCAUGGGAUAUCAGCUAGUUGGUAGGGUAAUGGCCUACCAAGGCUAAGACGUCUAGGCGGAUUGAGAGAUUGACCGCCAACAUUGGGACUGAGAUACUGCCCAGACUCCUACGGGAGGCUGCAGUCGAGGAUCAUUCGCAAUGAGCGAAAGCUUGACGAUGCGACGCUGUGUGAACGAUGAAGGCCUUCGGGUUGUAAAGUUCUUUCGCUUGGGAGCAAGAGAAAUUAGUGAAUAACUAAGUGAUUUGAGAGUACCAGGUAAAGAAGCACCGGCUAACUCCGUGCCAGCAGCUGCGGUAAUACGGAGGGUGCAAGCAUUAAUCGGAUUUAUUGGGCGUAAAGGGCGCGUAGGCGGACUGCCAAGUCAGAUGUGAAAUACCAAAGCUCAACUUUGGUGCUGCAUUUGAAACUGGUAGACUUGAGGGUUGACGGAGAAAAUGGAAUUCCACGUGUAGCGGUGAAAUGCGUAGAUAUGUGGAAGAACACCUGUGGCGAAAGCGAUUUUCUAGUUAAUACCUGACG
rnacentral:rRNA from 1 species